GACGGGUCACCGCCUAAUCGCGCCCGCGUCACCGCGGUCGCGUGCCGGGGACCCACAAGACCCUGGGGUGAAGCCGCAGCAGCACCGCGGCCGGGCGCGCUUCCCGCCCGAACCCGACAGCUAACCCGGUCGGCGGCCGAGGGAAGAAAG
rnacentral:sRNA from 2 species